rnacentral:piRNA from 1 species
UGCUUGUGCCGUGAAACUUAGCCUAGGAGU